CUGGGCUUGACAUGCAGCUGCAGGCCCCUGGAAACAGGGGCGGCCUUCGAGGGCGCUGCACAGGUGCUGCAUGGCUGUCGUCAGUUCGUGCCGUGAGGUGUUUGGUUAAGUCCAGCAACGAACGCAACCCUUGUGCUUAGUUGCCACCCCCGAUGAUGAGUCGGGGAGCACUCUAGGCAGACCGCCCGUGUAAGCGGGAGGAAGGUGGGGAUGACGUCAAGUCAGUAUGGCCCUUACGCCCAGGGCUGCACACGUGCUACAAUGGAAGUUACAGAAGGACGCAAGACCGCGAGGUGGAGCAAAUCCUCAAAAGCUUCCUCAGUUCAGAUUGCAGUCUGCAACUCGACUGCAUGAAGUCGGAUUCGCUAGUAACGGCGCAUCAGCUACGGCGCCGUGAAUACGUUCCC
rnacentral:rRNA from 1 species